CAAAAACAAAAGGACCCUCUUUCUAUUUGGUGUCACAAAGUACACUGCAGGACCCUAUGAAUGUGAAAUACGGAACCCAGUGAGUGCCAGCCGCAGUGACCCAGUCACCCUGAAUCUCCUCCCGAAGCUGCCCAAGCCCUACAUCACCAUCAACAACUUAAACCCCAGGGAGAAUAAGGAUGUCUUAGCCUUCACCUGUGAACCUAAGAGUGAGAACUACACCUACAUUUGGUGGCUAAAUGGUCAGAGCCUCCCGGUCAGUCCCAGGGUAAAGCGACCCAUUGAAAACAGGAUCCUCAUUCUACCCAGUGUCACGAGAAAUGAAACAGGACCCUAUCAAUGUGAAAUACAGGACCGAUAUGGUGGCAUCCGCAGUUACCCAGUCACCCUGAAUGUCCUCUCUCCUUCAGGAACAGGACAUCUUCCUGGCCUUAAUCCAUUAUAGCAGCCGUGAUGUCAUUUCUGUAUUUCAGGAAGACUGGCAGACAGUUGCUUUCAUUCUUCCUCAAAGUAUUUACCAUCAGCUACAGUCCAAAAUUGCUUUUUGUUCAAGGAGAUUUAUGAAAAGACUCUGACAAGGACUCUUGAAUACAAGUUCCUGAUAACUUCAAGAUCAUACCACUGGACUAAGAACUUUCAAAAUUUUAAUGAACAGGCUGAUACUUC
rnacentral:lncRNA from 10 species